CCAUGUCCUGCCAUCUGGCCUUGGGGCAGAAUUAAAGGAGACAUAUGCCCAAGGACUAAAUGCAGACUGCGACCCGCACGUUAUAUCACACCGGAACUUGCCCCCAAAAUCCUCCUUAGUCAAGAGACACCAUCCUGCUUGCAUGGGUGGCAGCACUUGACAGACAGCAUGUGGUGUCCACUUCGAAGUCCCCAGGGCCAACAGACUGGGCCCGGAACAGGCAGAGAGGAGGCUGCGGACACACAGGCCUGGAGUCACGUGUGAAAUCCGUCAAGAGCCCAGAUGACCGAGUCCACUUGUCCCAAUUCUGGAGGCACUGGAGUAGGCCCGAACCAAUUCACUCCAAGCCUAUGGUGCUGGGGUGCUCAGUGCUAUGGGACUGCUGAUGGCUGGAAUCUGGGGGACACUGAGGAGGUCUGUGUUUAAGCUGCCAGUGGUAUUUCUGCUUUUCUAGAUGUUUGGAUAGUUUGGAUAUUCUUGCAAUUACCUCUUUGUCUUGGGGGAAAGGAUAUCAAAGGGCCCCUUGGAUGUGUGCUGGAGUUUAUCAGGGAGCAUCUUGCAGCCAUAUAGAGGAAAAGAGCCCUUUCCUGGUAUUCUAUUUGGUUCUUGCCAGUGACCAAGCUCAGCCAUGCCAGAUCUGAGCAAGAGUCAGGUGACAUCUACUGCCCUACCCCCAGACACCUUUGGUUCCCACAUGCCCUGGGUAAAGGGUGCCUGUCCACGUGGGUCAGCCGAGUGCGGGGACAAGAAUCCUGGAAUCGCACAGCACUCUGCCCGCUGGCAUCUCGGUGGCCUGGGCUCUGGAGAGAAGUCCUGUUUGGUUCCUUUCCAUACCUCAGUGGCUCCCUUGACUCCUGGCUUGGGACUUCCGGUGAAUUGUCUGGAACUCUGUCCACAGGGUCGUGAGUGGAUAUUCUGAUUUGUCAAUAAUCAGGAGUGGAUGGUUAUACCUCAUGAAGAUGUGAAAGGGAAAUGGCCUUGCACACCAUUGGUGCUCAGAUGAUGUAUAAAGACUGCCAGGAUAGGAUGCACAUGUCACAUGGAGUGUCCAUUCCCUUCUGCCUCUCCAACACCUGUCCAGCUCUGGUUGCAGACCUAAGGAGUCAGGUGGCCAUUCCCUUGUGCACAGGCCAGCACUUCCUCAGAAAUAGCAGCCUCCUGCCCUGUCCGCAUCCCUCACAUGGCCUGAUUUUCACCAUAGUCUGUCUCACUGUGGGAAGUUUGAUAUCUACUGGUCUCCUCUUUCCUGUUCGUUCCCGGGGAGUCUCCCUAUUUUCCAGCGCGGUUCCCGAAUGCUCUACCACCGAGGCGAGCUGCUGCUGGCCUCUGCUCAGCAGCAGAUACUUUGUCACAUCAAAGGAGUACCAUCUGUUCCAAUUUCACUUAAGACUUUUUGGUUAA
rnacentral:lncRNA from 12 species